rnacentral:rRNA from 1 species
GACGAACGCUGGCGGCGGGCCUAACACAUGCAAGUCGAACGCGCUCGGACCUUCGGGUCCACAUGAGUGAGUGGCGAACGGGUGAGUAACACGUGAGGAACCUGCCCCGGAGUACCGGGAUAACCACGGGAAACCGUGGCUAAUACCGUAUGCCCUCUUCUGGUCGCAUGGCCGGUCGAGGAAAGCGCACGCGCUCCGGGAGGGCCUCGCGGCCUAUCAGCUUGUUGGUGAGGUAACGGCUCACCAAGGCAUCGACGGGUAGCUGGUCUGAGAGGAUGAUCAGCCACACUGGAACUGAGACACGGUCCAGACUCCUACGGGAGGCAGCAGUGGGGAAUAUUGCACAAUGGGCGCAAGCCUGAUGCAGCGAUGCCGCGUGCGGGAAGAAGGCCCUAGGGUUGUAAACCGCUUUCAGCAGGGAAGAAAAUGACGGUACCUGUAGAAGAAGGUGCGGCCAACUACGUG